AGUGAACGCUGGCGGUAGGCCUAACACAUGCAAGUCGAACGGCAGCACAGUAAGAGCUUGCUCUUACGGGUGGCGAGUGGCGGACGGGUGAGGAAUACAUCGGAAUCUACUUUUUCGUGGGGGAUAACGUAGGGAAACUUACGCUAAUACCGCAUACGACCUACGGGUGAAAGCAGGGGAUCUUUGGACCUUGCGCGAUUGAAUGAGCCGAUGUCGGAUUAGCUAGUUGGCGGGGUAAAGGCCCACCAAGGCGACGAUCCGUAGCUGGUCUGAGAGGAUGAUCCGCCACACUGGAACUGAGACACGGUCCAGACUCCUACGGGAGGCAGCAGUGGGGAAUAUUGGACAAUGGGCGCAAGCCUGAUCCAGCCAUACCGCGUGGGUGAAGAAGGCCUUCGGGUUGUAAAGCCCUUUUGUUGGGAAAGAAAAGCAGCAGGUUAAUACCCCGCUGUUCUGACGGUACCCAAAGAAUAAGCACCGGCUAACUUCGUG
rnacentral:rRNA from 1 species